AGCCAGCUGUUGACCAACACCCCUAGGUCUUUUUCUGCCAUGCAGCUUUCCAGCCUCUCUUCCCCAUGCCUGUAGCAUUGUGUGGGGUGGUUGUGUUCUAUGGGGUGUCACCAACCCCUGCUUUGUCCUGAUGUAGAGACAUGUGCCUCGUGAGCAUGCAAUAGUGUCUUCUCAGUUUGGCAUGUGGUCUGCGCUGUAACAGGCUGUGGUUCAGUCAUGACUUCUUCCAUGAUAUUCUCCCUUAUUCCUCUUAGUUAUGUUUGAUAUAGUUUCAUUUUCCCUGCAGCCAGCUGGGAAGGCUUUGCAGUGUUGCUCCUUUAGCAAACAGCGUGACUGUGGCCGCACAACCCAUGGCUCACUUGCUGUGCAAAUAUUUUUUUUUUUUCCCUUCCCUCUUCCUUCCCCCCACCUUUUUUUUUUUUUUUUUUCCCCCCCCCCCUCCUUCCCCCCCCCUUUUUUUUUUUUUUUUUCUCCCCCUCCCCUCUUUUGAAAGAGCUUCUACGUGGCACUGUGCUGUCCUCAUAGUGCCUUUCUGCGUGCUGGAACAGAAAAAAAAAAUUCUAUCAAUAGAACAGCUCAGUCCAGUUUUCCCCUUUGAGAGCCCAAGACAACGUGGUUUGUUAUUUCUUGUUGCUUUAAUUUGGUAUUGUUAUCAUUAGUAAUAGGUCAUAAGCUUUGUACUGUGUUUGCAAGACCUCAGGAUCGAGGCUUGUUAGGUUUAUUCUGAGCUUAUCUUGACCUACCUGAGGCACCUUUUUUUUUUCUUUUUUUAACUUGGCUGAGUGGUAAGAGCAAUUUUUCUUAUUGACCAAGUGGCUAUGGCUUAUUUGUUUUACUUUUGUGUAUCUUCACGUAGUGCAGCUGUAGGUUUAUAUAGAUAGCAGUAACAAGCUGUUGUUAUGUGUAGAACGAGGUAUUUAUGACUCUGACCCAAGACAUAGUGUAGAGAAAUGCAGGCCUGCAAAGGUCUUGAGAAGUGGAGGUGUGGGAUGUAGUGCAGAGGAGUGCAGGUAUGGGGUGAUGGGAUGGGGCUGGAACUGGAGACCCCUCGGCUAUAAACCGCUCACUCAGCUGAAGAAAUGCAGACUUGGAGCUGGACCAUGCUGAUUUUAGGGGCAACAAACAGUAUAAAAGCAGUACCUAAUGUAUGUAAAGGGCACUGACUAUAGUAAUUGAGAUGUAACACGCAGCUGCAGAUCAAAGAAAAAAGCAUGUUAAAAAAAAAAAAGUUACUAAACAUAAUUGAAAUGACUCUGGGUGGAACCUAGGGAGAUGAAGAAGGAACCAUCAACAUGAACACCUUAUUUUUCCUGGCACGGGACUCCAGAUGCUGACAACUCACUGGAAUGCCACCACCAUGAAACCCCUAAGAGUGGGAAAGGUGAACACGAAAAGGGGUAGAAACCACUAGGUGUGUGUGAUAAUUUUGAUAAUAAUAUCAUUCUGCAUGGAAUUAUUCUUUGUUUUCCUACAGUAGUGAGAUCCAGACCAACAAUCGUUCUUGGAUGAGACUGUUAAGAUUUUAAUUAUACCAAUAAUAUAUCUACACACAUAUAUGCUGUGCUUUCUCUUCGCCCAUAAGAUGAGAUUUUUGAGGUUGUUGCAGUAGCAUGCCAUCUUUCUCCUGAUCUUUCCCUGCUUCUCUUGGGUUCCCCUGAUCUUGCUGGUACCAUGCCAAGCUUAGUGUUGAGGUAACAGAGCUCUAGAGCAGCACUUGGACCGAGUCACAGGAUGGAAAUCUGCAUAGCUGCAAGGGGAACAAGCCUUCCUAGUGCUAACCCAAGGCUCCAAGGCUCCAGGCUUGACCCUGCUUGGGCAACCAAAGAUGGGAAUCCUGGUCCUCAAAGCGUGGCUCCUCCUUGCUGGACCCCGCGCCCAUAUCACUUUUCUCUAGGACCAAUGCACAGUGUGCAAACCCAAGAGCCCCCAUCCCCCUUCUUGGGUGGCCUUGCUUCCUCUUAGGCUGGUCACCACUUCCUACCCACCUUUUAUCUCCUGCCUUCUUUCAAAGAGGAACCACUGCUAUCGGUAGCAACUGCUUUCCUUUUGGCUUAGUUUGAGAUAUUAAGUAACAUGUGCUUGGGCAAAGGCAGUGCACAAAACUUGGACAGCAGAUGUGAGCACUGGGCUCCUGCAAGGCUCUGCAAGGACAUAUCAGCCCCCUGGUCUGGGCUGUGCACGCUGUCCAACACGCGGCUUGACCUGUGUCAGCCUUUGCAUCGGCCACCCUCCCUGCUAAGACUCUACGGAGAGUUGGGAGCUUCUUUCCCUCAAGAACGUGCAGGCAGAGAAGAGCAAACAGGGAUGAAGGCCCUCCUGGUGGCAUGUCUGGUUGUUGUCCUCUACGUGGACAUUGCCAACUCGCUGACGUGCUACACCUGCACCAACCAGACCAGCAAUGAUCAGUGCCUGACGUCUUCCCCAUGUCCCAAAAAUGAAACAGGCUGCGUGACUAGAGUUGACACGAUAGGUUCUGGCGCUCAAGAACGGAAGCUGAUCAACAAAUACUGCAUUUCAAGUUGUGCUAAGGUUCAAAAACCUUGUAGCUGCUGCAGUGAGGAUAAAUGCAAUCGCAGCAAGGCAUCUGGGAUGAGACCUCCCAUAGCAGUGCUGGGAACUGCAGUUCUGGUCAGUGUUACCAGGCCCCUUCUCUGGACUGGACUGUGAUGAGAUCCCGUCGAAUAACCUGUGCGAGCUUCUUAACCCAUUCUGGUCCCCUGGCACCUGCAGUCAUUUUGCCUGUCUGUCCCCAGAACAUCUUCUGAACAUCUGAUGUUCAGGCAUAGAAAGGUUUCACCAGCUUGAGCUUGACGGAGAAGAGAUCCCUCAGUUAUUCUUUUAUAGCUUCUCAUGCAACAGGCUCUGCAGCCACCAUUAAAGAGGAAAAAAAAAAAGAAAUUUCCAAGAUGUUUAUUAUUUAUUCUCUUUUUUUAUUGAGAGCUGACUCACAGCAGGGCUGGGAUUUUGCAAGCAGCAUGACCAGGUUGUUCAUACAAGUACACAAAGAGCUAAAUAACUGGAGGUGAGUAGGAGGAGGAUACAAUCCUGAUCAGCACAGCCCCAGAUCAGAGUGUAUCUCUUAUUGUUUCAGCCAGCCAGACAUUUCUGAAGGUUUAUAGAAAAAGGUUUGGAAAAAUAAUGAAUUUGUGUCUUCAGAUGCAAAGAUGGUCUUGACAAGGUCUGGGACAGCAUGGGGAAGGAAUAUUAGCAAAUGAAACACCCUGUGUCAGUUCCUGGCCCUGGGGUCAGCUGGUGCCCAUUUAUAUAGCUGAGCUCUCUCCCUUCGAAAUAAGGUGGCUGAAUCCAAAAUACUGAUUGGAAAAAUAGAUCUGGAAUUGUCAGGGAUGGUCCUAGUUGGUCAGGCCAAAAUCGUGCUACGGAGCAUGCUACACUGUGGAUGACUGUGGGACAGCCCUUGAAACUGGGCAUGGGCUCUCCAUUUAUUAUUUAGAUGUAGCUGCCUCCAUGACAGCUCUUCUGCAGUGUGGUUCCAGCCCCAGGGCAGCUGGAAGGGUGGUGACCUCCUCUGGAACUUGUUACACUUGGACAUCACUGCUGGAUCCCCCUAUUAAUGCCACCAAGUACAGGUAUGAUCCUGUAUGUAAUUUAAUCCAGUCCCAGCUGGGAUUUGGGCAAUACGGGAGUCCCAGAGACACCAUAAAAUCGGCUAAUACUGGUAAACAGAUUUGGGAUGCCCCUGGGGCACCUUUUCCUGCCCUGCUUGAGAGGAAGCCAAAGUGCAGGCUCUUAGAAAGAUUUCAACACCUUGGUGUAACCUGGCCACAGGCUGCCCACGCUCUUGAACCCGAGUAUCUCCACCCCACAGCAGGACUCCCACCAUGAGUACCUGGCCACCUUCCUUCACAACACUCAGGAAUGGGGAAGUGAAUGGGAGGUUGGGUAGGAGCAGUCACAGGGUCUGAGUCCUUCAGCAAUCUGGCAUGCAAAGGGUUUAAGCCCAUGUUCGUUUGCAGUAAACCCAUGGGUGGGAUUAGCUCCAAGCUCCCCUUGGGAGUUAAGCACUGAAACAUCUGUGAAGGUCUAAGGUGGGGACAGAUCUGUGUCAGGGGGAUGGUAACGAAACCCACCCUGCUGUCCUGAUUUUGGAGAGGUUAUGACCUGAAGGAUACAAAGAAUGAGCCUUGCAGGAGCAAGCACAAGUAAAACACUGAGGAGGAGGAGAAAGAUGGAAAGAGCCGGAAAGAAAAAUCCCUCUUCAGCCACUGUCAUUGGACCCAGGGAUGGGAAGAGCUGGAGCUUGCCCUCACCCAGGAGUUGCUCAAGACACAGCUGCCUCUUCUUCCAGGGCAAUACAUGCUUCAACGUGUAGUCUUCCCUGCCAAAAACAAGUGACACCAUGUUGACCUGGCCUCUUCCUCCACCACAACCCAAAACAAAGGAUGGGGAACAAGACAGGGUUAGAUUAUGCAAUUGCUUCAAUGGGUUUUGUUUAGGGCUGAAAAAUCCCUGGUGGUGCAAUCAUAUGUGAUGCUGAGAACCUCUUCCAUCCUGCAGCCCCUGGUGUACUAGCAAAUGGGUGGGAAAUGGCAAUAUGUAUGGGCUGGGAUGAUGCUGUGAUAGAUGGAAAUAUUUGGGAACCUUCUGAGGUGCCAGGUAAGAAGUGAUGAGGGUAGGAGGGCCUGGCAGACAUCACACUCUGAUCACAGGAAAGCUGAAUAGUUAAAAACGUCAGGGCAAAUAAAAGGAAAAGAUCCCAUGAGACCAAGCCAUGAUGUUUCCGUCCCUCCUUGUUACUGUGGUUCCAUAUGUGGACAAUUGUCUCGAGGCUUUUUGUGAGAAGAGCCCAGUAUGAGGCUCCCAGAAGAUGAGCAGAUCCCUGGCUGACUUCUGUUCAUUGACUUCUGACCUCUGUUCUCCAUCCAGGAAGACUCAACAGCCAGAACAUUGCAGAGGGCAGCCAGGUAAAGCUGUGUUUACUAGCCAGCUCCAACACAGUUGUGUCGUGCAGUGUGGUAGAGCCAAGAGUAAAAUGAGGGACCAAGCUCUCAUCCUGAAGCAUGUGAUUCACACGCCUGCAAGGAUCUGGUCUCCAAGGCUGAACAUAAGCAAGGGAAAUAAACAGUUCCUGGGAACAUUCCCUGAUCUGUAAUGCCAUCGUCCACAACGUUUAAUUAAUCAUUUUAAUUGCUAGCACAUUCCCUGGCGAGGUUUUAACAUGGACCAGCCACCAUAGUCCCAUGCAAUGUCUGGAUAAAAAGAAAGAGCAUAAGAGACCCUGUUGAUGUCCACCUCUUGGCCUCUGUGCUGGACAUGGUCUUGGACACAUUUAAUUUAAUGCUAUAGCUGUAGCCUCAUUUCUGCUCUGUGAUGCUGGAUACUGGGACACCUUUUUUGCAGCUCUCUGCCCUGAUCCAGCCAAGCACUGCCUUCCAUGCUGCAGUCAUGCUGCUUCCAUGUGUUGGCCACCCAGCGUGACACCACCAUCCUCAGUCUCCCAUGUGCCUCUUAGGAAAUGCCAGCCAUGGCUGUCCCACACCUCACGUAUAUGCAUCAGACAUACCUGAGGCCAGGAUGGUAACUUCCCAACUAUCUGGCUUAAUGGGUUACUGGCAACCCUCAAAAUGCCAAGCGUCCCAUUGUGCACCCUUGCCCAUCAUCACACUUGUCCAUCAAACCACUCCUGCCAGUGGUCCAGUGGUGGACCACUUCCCGUGGCCUUGCAGAUCAUCUUCCUGCUGCCAGUGAGGAGCAGAUUUGAAUCCCUGGGCCAGGUGACUCCCCUCCAGCUCUGUGUCAGAGAGGAGACGUUCACACCACCAGUCCUUGGAAGUGAGGGAAUAAACCAAGUCAGAGACAUUUCUUUAAAAAAUCAUAAUCAAUAAUUCACCUAGUUAAUCAUAUAGAAGAGUAACACAGUUAUUUUUCCCUUCUUCCUCAAAAAAAAAAAAGAGUCAAAUGUGGUUAAAGCAAACUGCUUCUUUACCAGCGCAGACCUUUGCCAGGGUGCUCCUGCUGCUGCAGGACACUGAGCCUUGGCUGCCCAGGCUGAUUUCCAGACUCACCCAAAGAGUCAUCCCUGCAGAAGGACACCACUCAAUGAGUCAUGCUGGGCAAAUCUUAUUCCCUGGAAGAGUUCUAUCUUGUCAGCUGCUGCCUCAUGACAUCUGGAAGGACUGACACACCUUUGCUGGCAUCCACCAUGGCAUGCAGUCCCCGGGUCUGGCAGAACUUCAUCUGUUGGGCAAGUGAUGUGGCUUAUCCUCUCCACACCCAGAAGCUGCAUGUCCUUUGGAAAGGAAUGGUUAUAGUACUCAUGGGGUUAUCAGGACUGACUUCACCAUCCUGUUGAUCCUGCUUUAUGUCAGCUGUAUUGGCAGACCCAGUGGUUUAAGACACCAGUGUCAGAUACCUCAAAAAUAUCUGCAAAUCAACCAAAAAAACGCACCCCAAUAAUUCUCCCCCCUUUUUUUUUCAUAAAAAGGAAGACACUAUGGGUUUUGGUGUCCCUUUGAACUUCCUCUGGCCAUGCCUUCACUGUGAUGAGCAAUGAUUAGUCCCACCAGAUGCUCUUAAUGUCUUUGAUGAGCAUGACGCUUGCUCAUCUGACUGAUCUCAUGCCCAGAAACUGAUGUUGACCCCCGAUCAUUUUAGCCCUCCCCUCACCCAUCUAAGCUCUUUCUUCCACAUGUUUUCUGAGCCCCUGCCUCUUCUCCUUCUGCAUCUCCAUCUUCUAAACCCCAGGCUGUUUAGCUACAGUUGGAUCCCUGUUCCCUUCCCUGCAGACCGAGCCUUGCAGGGUGGAGAAGGAAGGAGCAAGCAGAGAGUUGAUUGACCGAGCAGCGUUAUUCAAAGGGGCUGCUCCUGCUUCCUCUUCUCUGCUCUUUGGUGGCCAGGCAGGUGGUGACUCACGGAGAUGUCUGGCAACUCUUUCCUUGGAAGCAGAAGUGGGACAGCAGUCAAAUGGAGGCCCCAGAAGGGCUGAAAUUAUCAGCUCCACCCAAAUUGUAAGCACGCAGAGAAAUCAUAAAGGUUGAGAACAUAUCUGACUGAUAUCUAGGAGGACUUUGAAUCAGAUACUCCAUGUAGAAGGGGGACAAAGAUAUUUUUACCCUUUGCUCAGACGUAGCAAAGAAAAGCUGUUGCAAGGCUGGAAAUCAACUUCCAGCAUCCCAGCCUCUGCAUUUGAACCCCAAAGCCAUUGCUCUCUUGCAGCAGCUGUUCUCAAAACCAGGAUGCAGAGCAUUUAGGACUUUGUAGAUAACCAGCAGUUUUUAUAGGCAAACAGGAAAUUGUAAGACAUUUCCCGUUUGUAUUUGCCAACCAUGAAUAUACAGCUAGAUCUACCCUGGCUGGAGAUACUGGGAGUUCUCCAGGUCUAACCCUGGAAACGCACUUGGCAAUAAUCCACCCAGCUGAAGCUAUUAACUUCGGUCACUUUAUUAUCAUUUUGCUUUGAGUAGCUGCCUUCAGUGAACUUUCUGGCCACAGAUGUGAUGAUCAGAUUGGAGCGAAACAGUACAAAACCCCCACUCAGACAUCAGUAGCAUGGCUAGCCUGACCAUAGAUAAAUUAAAGUAUUAGAAGCAAUACGUGGGAUGAAUUGCCGUAGUGCUUUCACUCCUCUCUGGACCCAUCAGACAAGCCUGAAGGCAAUGUCAAGGUGAGAAAACAACCCACAUGCAUUCCUAGCCUGUCAAAUAACGCCUGAUCCCUGCCCACUCUUUCAAAAUUGUUGUCUUCAUCAUCACUCGGUCCAAACGCAGGGAAGAUAUAUAUCCUGUCCCCAGGUGAGGGUGCUUUUCCUGGGCUGUGGAGACAACUGAGAGAAGAUGAAGGCCUCCCUCCUUGCCGUGCUGGCUUUGAUCCUGUGCGCACAUCAAGGUGAGGAAUCACGGUUCGCUACUAGACAACUAAUUGUGUGUUUUAAAGUCAGGGAGGCCUCGUAGAUGGGGAAAGAGAUCAUGGGAGAGGGUGCCUUGGCUCUUGCAGUGGUGCAGCUGAAGGAUAGAGUGGGUUUCGUAUCUGUAGUCUCAGCCUGGAUAUGUGAAAGGUUUUUUUUCAGCAGGGAAAUUUCCCUAACCUAUUGUACAACUCGAUUUUUAUGAAAGCAAGACAGAAAAAAGGAAGCAGUUGCUCUCUGCUAAGAGACUUUCCAGUGAGUUUGUCUGUUGAGAUGAUGCAAGGCGGUGGUUAUUUCCAAAUCUUUAUGCAGAAGUGCUUCAGCCUAUGACAGCACAAUACACCAGCAGCUCUGUGCGCCUGCUUCCAACUGCAGUCAGCGAUGCUGUUUCUGGCAACAGGGGUGGGACAGGGCCAGAUGUCCAACAUUUGGCCUUGUGCAGCCACCCGCUGAAUGCCCCUCAUUGCUGUCCAUCUCAGAGACCCAACCAGAUUGCUGAUUUCAGAGAUUCUGGGACAAAAUUGGGGAACUAGGGAGCAGUUGGGCUGCAGUCUAAAUGGGUCAAGCAGCCUUAUGCAGGGAUAUUGGGUGGAGAUGUAUGCUAGCGUAUUAUUUAUGUGUAUAGAUACAUACAUAGAUUAUGUAUUUUACUUUAUUUUACGUAUAUUAAUUUUAUUUAGAGAUUGCAAAUGAAAUCAGAGCCCUCUUUAAGUAUAUGGUCUUCUAGCCUCUAUAGACAAGACGGUUAAACAACCAGAGAGGAUAAAGGUUAUCCUCAUUUUUGUAAAGCGGAACAGGGUUUGGCCAGCGCUUGGAAAUUUGCCACGUUGUCUGGUGCAGAAAAGUAAUUUCUUGGAAUAGUUAUUUCUGUCUCAUUGUGGUCUAAGAAUACCUUUCUGCUAUUUAGCUUUGUUCACUCAGCAAAACAGCCAUUCUGACAAAUUUCCAAGUGUUAACAAGGCCCGGGGGACGGAGAGAUUGUCUUCGGUGCCAAAACGAAGACUGCCCUAAUCCGCAUUAGAUAACCUAGGCAGUAAAAACGAAGGGUUAGGCUGCACGUGUCGUAGGGCUGAAGUCACACAGCAAAGAGUUAAAAGCCCUUCUCCUCCCAGGUAAUGGAUAUAUGUUUGAGGGCAUCAAACUCCCACCCAAAAGGGACGCCCAAAGACAGCCGUGGGAGACUGCCUUCUUCAGGCUAUGGAGGUCCCAAUUAACCCUGUUCAGCUGCUGAUGCUUACUCCCCAGUUAGGCUUUAGUCUAUGUUACAGUGUCUUCAGCAACUAGAAAGGGUGACCCCAAGCCUUGGGACAUCCCUUUAGACUCUUACAGAGGACCCUGUCCUUCCCAGUUCCCUGUUGCCACUCAAACCCAGUACCCUUGGCCCAUUGUGUUGUUGUUUGGAGCACAGGGUGGGAAGGGUAGGCUUGCACCAUCAGCGCGUGUGUGCACAGAUGCGUGUGCCGGAGUGCAUGGGCUGGGUGUAAAUGUUCAAGUGUGCGGGUGGCAGAGUGUGUUGGGUCUGGGUCUCGCAGCCCCAUCACUUUCAGCAGACCUGCACUUUGUGCGUUCGAGAGUCAAUGCAAAAGCAGGUGGUCAUUUUUGCUGCCAGGACUAGCAGCAUUUUGUCUCCAUCUUCCAUAUCCUCUGUCUCCUCCUGCAGCAAACGCCCUGUAUUGCUACACCUGUGACUGGGAACACAGCAACUGGAGCUGUCUGAAGGCCGAGAAGUGCUCAGACAAGGAUGAGUACUGUGUGACCAAUGUUGCUUCUGUAGGAAUUGGCUUUUUGUCUUUGUGGAAGAGGAUCACCAAGAAGUGCUCCGAGACCUGUCCACACCACAACUUCAGCCUGGGCCUGGCUACCUACACCUCAUACUGCUGCAAAACCUUCUUGUGCAACCUGAGCGCGUGCCCAGGACCCAGGCUAGCUCGGGACUGAGAUGGCAGGGAGUCCCAUGCCAGUGUACUUCACCUGCUCAGCAGUGGUGGGAGAAAGGGGCUCCUGAAGGCCUGAAGAGCAUGGUCAGAAUCCCCCAGGAGGGUAUGGACAUUGAACACACUGCAGAAUAGAUAAAGUAUUACGGUGACCGCCUCCUGGCCUGUGUUGCCUCCCAACCUGUAGCUUCUCACUUGCUUCUCAUGCAUGAGCUCUGUUGUGCCGGCAGCUUGAUGGAGAAGCGGCUGUGCUAUGUCCUGCACCCUGAAGGGGAGAAAUGCUGCUUCUGCAUGUCCUUCAAAUCUCUAGAGGGGUUUCUCCUGCAAUCUUACUUUAUCUUGGGUGGAGCUGGGAGACUCCAGACUCAGGGAGUGGGGUGGGCAAAAAUAACAACCCCUCUGUUCCAACUCAGAAGGGAAACUGUGCAAGCUCCCAGGGUUGCUUCUGGGGAAGUGAAAAAGGCAGUCCUGAAAGGAGGCUGUAGCAAGGUGGUGGUUGGUCUCUUCUCCUUGGUAAUGGGUGAUAGGACAAGGG